ACGCACGCUGGCGGCGUGCUUCACACCUGCAAGUCGAACGGAAAGGCCUGCUUUCCCUUGUGGAUUGCGGGUACUCGAGUGGCGAACGGGUGAGUAACACGUGAGUGAUCUGCCCCCAACUUGGGUAUAAGCCUGGGAAACUGGGUCUAAUUCCCGAUAGGACUGCAGGGUGGUGCCUGUGGUGGAAAACGAUUUUCUAGUGGUUGGGGAUGAGCUCGCGGCCUAUCAGCUUGUUGGUGGGGUAAUGGCCUACCAAGGCGGCGACGGGUAGCCGGCCUGAGAGGGUGGACGGCCACAUUGGGACUGAGAUACGGCCCAGACUCCUACGGGAGGCAGCAGUGGGGAAUAGUGCACAAUGGGCGGAAGCCUGAUGCAGCGACGCCGCGUGGGGGAUGACGGCCUUCGGGUUGUAAACUCCUUUCGACCGCGAGGAAGCCACCUGGUUGGAAGGGUGGUGACGGUAGUGGUAGAAGAAGCACCGGCUAACUACGUG
rnacentral:rRNA from 1 species